rnacentral:rRNA from 1 species
AACGACUCUCGGCAACGGAUAUCUCGGCUCUCGCAUCGAUGAAGAACGNGCGAUACUUGGUGUGAAUUGCAGGAUCCCGCGAACCA